CGAGGAGCUGAAUUGAGGUGUGGUUUGAAUUUUGCGGGCGAAAUUCUUUUUGAGGGGUGGAGAAUGUAACAUACCAGAUUUUGGUAUAGAAAUAAAAAAUAAAUAAAAAUAGUAUGAGAUACUAUUUUUAUUGGAUUUAGAGAAGUAAAACAUAAGUCAGAAGUGACUUGUGCUGAAAUCGGAAUGAAAACAGAAGAUUUAUAAUUUUCUGUUGGAACGGGACAGAUAAAUUAGUAGAAAAUUCACAGUGUCAGAAAAUUAUGAAAACUGGAGGAUAUGUCAGAAUUAUUUUUAUGAGGCUAGAUUUAAAGUUUCAUGUCAUUCUGAUACCCGGAAGGUGAAAAAUAAAAUUCGACAGUUAUCUAAUAAGAUUACAGUUCGGUACAGCUUUUGGUGAACAAUCGGGGUCAAAACUAAAAGAUUAAAAUUUCUUUCGUUAAGUUAAGUAAAAUCGAACAUGACUGUCAAAUUUGAGCUCAAACGGAUAUUCAGAGGGCUCCGGCGAAAGAUAUCAGAUUUCGAACUGCCUGAAGUGAAUAAUGUUUGAGGGAGAUAAUUAUAAAG
rnacentral:lncRNA from 1 species